rnacentral:lncRNA from 1 species
UGAGUGACAUCCCUUCCCCUCGGCAAUGGUGCUUAGACGCUGUCAAUACAUUAAACAAGAAUAGUCGAACCAAUCCAUCAACAUCCCUUUACUGACUGCUGCUGGGGACACAGAGAGGUGAAAGAGAUGGCUGAGUGCCCUUGGAGAGGUUCCAGCUGAGUCUGGGAGGGAAGGGAAAAAAGAAGACACCUCCAUCAAAAGGUUCACCAACAAAGCAACAUGU